UACGUAGGGAGCAAGCGUUGUUCGGAUUUACUGGGCGUAAAGCGCACGUAGUCGGCUUUGCAAGUCGGGUGUGAAAUCCCCGGGCUCAACCUGGGAACUGCAUCCGAGACUGCAUUGCUAGAGUAUGGGAGAGGGAAGCGGAAUUUCUGGUGUAGCAGUGAAAUGCGUAGAUAUCAGAAGGAACAUCAGUGGCGAAGGCGGCUUCCUGGACCAAGUACUGACGAUCAGGUGGCGAAAGCGUGGGGAGCAAACAGG
rnacentral:rRNA from 1 species